UUCCUUUUGUGGGCUUGUUGUUAUCGUUCUUGGCUAACGAUCCCGCCGACCCGCAACAAUUACCCAUGGCUUCAACAAUGACGGAUCAAGUCAAACCCGGUCGUAGCUCGAGAGAUCGAGGGAACUUAAUUGGGUAUAGAUUCACGAGGUGUGAUUCCAAGAUAAUGGGAAGAUCAAAGGAUGGUUACUUGGAAUGAAAUUGUGGAUGAGACGGGUAUAUAUGUGGGAAUGGAGGAGGGGAAGAUCAUAAACGCGUGAAAAUCAAAGAAGAUGGAUCGAAUCAACGUCAAAAUAUUUUUCUUGUCUGAAUCAAAUUGUUUUUAUGUUUUGUCUGAAAAUCAUGAAAAUAAUUUACAGACAUGAUGGAAGGAAAGUCAACAGAAUCUUCCUCCCUAAACUGUCUUGAUUUUUUUUCUGUAUUUUGUUUUUCAUUUUUUUUCUAAUUUCUUUCUUUCUGUUUUUUUUUUUUAAAUUCUUCACUUAUAAAAGUUAUUAACUUCAAGACUGUGUUUCCACUUUCCAAUAAUGUGAAAUCGAAAUCACUGGUAAACAUAAAACUCUUAACAGAGAAAAAUAAAUAAAAACGCGAGUCUGUAUCACGUUUUAGGCUUUUAGCUGAUUUGAAGGAGGUAGUAAUUGUAAAUAAUAAUAGCCGUCUUCUUUAUUUCUUUUUGUUUCUUUUAUUAUUUUUCUACUAUUACGGUCAAACUAGGCGAUUUGACUCUUUCGUCGAACCCAAGUCACGCAACUAACAAUAUUUUAUUAUUGCCAUCCUACUAACAGCAUAACUGAAAAUAUGCCAAAUCAAAUAUAUUACUAGAAUAGUGGAAUUUUAUUUUUGUUUUUUUUCAACUGUGGACAUUGUUGAUUAUUGAUAUGAGAAUUUGUUAUUUUUCUUAGAAGAAGCAAAAGCUAUAGAAAGGUGUUAGUACGGGAAACUUCCUUACAAGUUAAGACUAUAUUACAAAAAUACUAUUAAAAAGCAAAGUCAGUGGAGUAUGAAACGAGGAAGCGAGAGGACGAGUCUUUGUCAAAAUGUGUUUAGAUUUAUUUGAGAUCCAAAGAUCAAUGAUAGUGAUGAACCUUACUUAAUCCUUUCAUCUUCACACGAGUGUUUCUGUUAAUCCUAGAUUCUUACCAAGUUAAUGAUUUCUUUAAUUUGUUUACUUACAUUAACACAAAAGGUCAAUUAUCAUUAAAAAUAUAUUAGGCAAUAAACUUAAGAGAUUUAUCUUUGUUUUCUAGAAAAUCUUCCAUCAUUAUUUCAUUGCUAAAGACUUUUGCAUGUUGCCCAUCAAAGCUCUCUCUGACCCAAAAACAUUGAAAGCCUUUCUAGACCCAUUAACGCAUUAUGGUAGAAGACCAGAUGAGCAAGAAACACAUAUGAGAUCUCUGAAAAAGAGAUCAUUUAGUUCACAUUUCACAUUUCGCACUAUUACAUUUCAACUUUCAUAAAAUAUAAUAGGAUAGGUAUGAAAAGUAUAAAAGAAUAAUCAUCCUAGUCUAGUUACAAUUUAUUCAAACCAGGCAUCUCAGAGUUUGAUAAAAUUCCCCCAACUAGUGCUCUAGUUUUGGAAUGACAAAACGAUACAUGUAAGCUAAUAACCUUAUGUGGAAAACAUACAAUAGAUAUUACAUUCUAUUUAUACACAUUGAUUCCCAGUAUAAUAUGGUACGUUUAUAGCAUAUAUAUAUUAUUUAUACACAAGAAAAAGAAAUACUUGGAGAUGGAGUGAAACGUCGCUUAGCUAGGAGAUAGAGAAAAAUGAACGUUUGGCCGGAGGUCGUCCCACGGCUCUCAUGAGAUUAGAGACUUCAAGAACCCUAGCAACCUCCGUACCUCUUUUUGCUUCCGCCGUCGCUCUCCUCUCCUCCGCCUUCCUCUGAGCUUUGGCUACUUUGUUCUGUGUUUUCUCCAUCGCCUUUGCUCUCCUUUCUUCCAACUUCCUCUGCAUCCGAUCAUCAUCAAUAUUACAACAUAUAUAUUGUCAUUAAACGCUUUAAAACACUUUUCUAAUAUAUGUGUGACAAACGUUCAUAAAAAUAAUAUAUAAGUUUAAAACCUUAUUCCUUUGAAAUAUAUUUUAACGUACACACGGGGUUACAAGACUAUAAUCUAUAUAAUCUCAAAAUAAUAUGUUAAGAGAUCAAUAUAACUAGUGUUGUAUAUAAAUUUAACAUAACUAGUUAACUAAUGGGAUCUGCUAUAAACUAACCUCGAUUUUCUUCAUCCAAGAGUUAGCUUUAUGGACCUGCUCAUUUAACCAACCGUUAAUAAAAGCCUCUUGUCUCUUAAACCUAUUAUUAAUCUUAGCCAACUUCGCCGUCUGCCACGCUGUUAUCUUAGCUUCCACCUCAUCCCUCUUCACCCUCUGCACCGAGGCAGCCGUCACCAUCCGAUUCUGACCACUUGAUGAAGUCGUCGUCACAAUAUUCUCCGAACCGGCCCGGUUAUCGUAACCGUCCGGUACGAUCGCCCACGGGUUUGUAUCUUCUUCAGGCACCUGAUGAUGCUGAUCACCACCACCACCGUCUUCAUCUUCACUGAUCCUAGUCAGCUCGUUUAUGACGUCACGAUGACUUAUGGAUUGGUUGUUCCCGUUGCUGUUGUUGUUGGUGUCCAUGGAAGAGCCCGCGAUGACUAGAGCGUUGAACUCUCUGCUCACGGUGGUGAAGUUCUCUCCGGCAGAAGAAGCUCCGUCGCUAAAGUUCACAGACCUAGUCGGAGACAAGUGUCCUCCUCUUUGCUGUGGGCGUGGAAGCUCGGUGGUCGUCAUAGCGUGAAUAUCUCUCACGACGGUCUCAGACGGUGGAGUCUCGUCCCGGCUAUCGGAAGCAUCGGUACUCGUGGUGGUGGUGAUCUCUGUUGAUGAGCUCUCUUGACUGUACAAAGUCAACAUCAGAGUUGUGGCUAGCUAGUAGUAUACUGGACUGUGUGAUUAGAAGUUGAGCUCUUGAUGAUACUAAUUAGACGAUGAAAGAAGGACACCAAGGCAAGGAAGAAUAAAUAAUCAAUGAUUAUGGCUUAAUCAUUUUGUGUAACGAAUUGUUUAGAUGAGAGGUGAAAAUAUUAACAAGUGUCAGAGUCUAUUCCAUGAAAGCUACGUUCGUCCAGUAAAUAAGCGACUACAUUAAUAUUUUUCAAAGACGUGUUCUCUUAGAUAUUUAGCAAGAGAUUGAUUAACUAAUUCAAUUCGGUGGAAAAUUAAUUGAUUUAAAUUAAGCCUAAUUUAAUUUUACACACUUUUAACCUAAUUCGAUUCAAUAUUUUUUAUUUAUUCAAGAGCAUCUUCAGAGAUCUUUAAAAUUAAAAGGGGACUUUAAUCAGCGGGUAGUCUUUUUAUUUAUAAGAAUAAUUUCAUGAAACUUUCACAUUGCAAUAGAUCAAUUUCUCUUGAUUUUUUCUUUUGAAAUGGAAAGAAUUAUCGUAGUGCAAGGAGUGUCGGCAAUAGGGGACCUACCACGAAAAUGGGAUAAUGCUUGUGGACCAAGCUACAAGCUAACACGUGUCUCUCGGUAAUAAAAGUUACGUACGUGUCAUUAAAUGAAUGGUAGCGUGUCCCCGCCAAAAUAAAAUACACACGUCAGCUUUUGAAUGUGCUCGAAGAUCCCAGUAGCAAAAUGGCACGUAUCAAAUGUCAAUUUAUAUCAUAUCUACCCUUAUUAUUUUUUACUCAAUUAUAUUAGUUUCUUAUAAUAUUCUCAUAUAUUUGACCCACAUGAUUAGUAUUUUAUACUGUAUAAAUUGUAUCCCUUUGUGAAAAGUUUUAGAGUAACAUUGCUAGUUUGCUUAGCUACUCAAAUAGUUAAAGACGAGUAAAAUCAACUUGGACUGAUACAUAUCUCGAGAAGAAAAAAGUUGAUACGAUGCAGAUUUGAUCGUGGCAUAAAGGGUUUAUAAAAUAUGUUUCUACCAGGACUGGACAUUUCAUCCGUUAAAUUUGAUUCGAUUUGUUAUUCGUUUCGAUUCGAUCCGAAAUUUUAGGAUAUCCGUAAAUUUUUGAAGCAAAACAAAUAUACUAAAAAUCAAUAUACGUUAAAAUCGAAACAAAUCACAAAUAUCAAAAUUUUGGGAAACGGAUAUCUGCUCCGAUCCGGAAAUAUAUAAAUAUAUGUACAUCUUGAUUAUACUUAAUGCUUUAAAUGUAUAAGUUUAUAUAAUUAUUUUAUAACAUAUGAUUUGACAAAUUCUAUUCACAUUAUUACUUAUAUAAAAGUAUUACAUAAAAAAGGAGAGAAAAAUAUUAUAAAACAAUUAUAAUUUUUAUUUUUCUUAAGUUUUGUGUUAUUAUAAUUGUUAACUAAGUUUAAAAUUUACAAAAUAUGUAGUUUCACUAUUUCUUUUAGUUUUUAUUUUAUAUAUCAUGCAAAAAAAUAUAUUAAAAAAUAAAAUUGUAGUACAUUUUUAAGAUUAUUUGUAUUAAUCAAAGUGGAUGAGAUAUCCGUAAGUAUUCGUAAAUAUCCGCAAAUAUCUAUUUAUUUUCCGGAUAUCAUAUUUUUCCGAAGUAAAGCAAAUCGAAAAAUUAGAUAUCCGUAACAUACGAACAAAUCACAAAUACCUUCAAAAAUUCGGAUAUCCGAUCCGUGUCCAGCUCUAGUUUCUUCCGCAAGUGUCUACAAACUAGAGAGAGACUUUGGUAUUCAGAAAAAUGUGCUUUGAAGUAAAGUAUGUUGCCGAGUUAUUCGGCACGGUAUGCAUUGAUUCACCGAAUCAAGCACCGAUUAUAGUUUGUGUGAAAAGGAAGAUAAACUCGAGAAAAAAUAUAAAACUUGUUGCGAUUAGUAAAACAAUUGGGUCAAGAUGGGCUACGAAUCAUCGCAUUUUCAGCAGAGCCCAAUCAACUAACCCAUUCCAUAGAUGCAGAUUACAGCUUACGGAACAAAUCAUCAUCAUGGGAUAGAAAAUCUUUGUGAUUUUUUCUUUGGGGGUGGGGGUUGACAUAUAUCCCUUACUUAUUAAUUCAGAAUCAUUUUUAACAAUAAACAUUUGUUUAGUAAACUAAUAACAACUUUCCCAUUAUAAACAUUUGUUUAGUAAACUAAUAACAAGUUUGCCAUUAUAACUGAUGUGGUAAACUCAUAGCUCUUCCCAGCCAACUAAAUUAAUGAACCUUUAAUUAUUACUAGGAUAUUUACAACUAUUACCACUACUGGUACCCUAUUAUACAUUAUUUGAAACAUAUAAUUGAUACAAUUCAUACGACUUUAUUUGGUUCAUAGAACAACAACCGGUUGAUAUUGUAAAUCUUUUUAACCGGUUUUCUUGAUCAAAGCUAUGUGUAGAAUAAGUCUGCUCGAUAUGUAAAAUCUACAACGUAGGCUGUUUAAAAACCGUGUCUUCUUCAUCUUCGCUACAAAAUAAACAAUAUCUUAAUUAAUCAUAUAUCAUACGCUGCUGAACUGAAACAAAAAAAAUUACUGCACAACCUGAUUAGACUAAUAUUUUCUUCAUGGCAUUUUCAAAUUUUAAGCUUACUAUUUCUAUCUGGCAAUCAUACUAUGUAAAACCUACAACAAAAUUUCAAAUAUGAUUCAAUAUAAGUGGUCCAGUUUUUGUUAUUUUAUAUUCUUAGUUACUCAGUUUCUAAAAAGUCAAAACUAAUAGUUAGUGGAUCUAUACAUUACUGGGCAACAUAAUGAAUAUAUUUAUAUUGUUCAUCGUCUGAAGUCGUUUAAAUGGCUUAUGGUAUAAGACAGUGAGAGUUUGACUUUAGUUCAUGACAUACACCAAAAAUUAAAUAAAAUGUAUGUAGCCCGUAGUAGUGAGUUCUGUAAGUUAUUAUGUGUACUAUGUACUAUGUAAUAUUAUUAAGAGAGUAAUGAAUUACUCCUCCAUACGAUUGUUUUGGCUAAAACGCAAAUUUUAAAUGUUCUGUAAUGUUGGCAAAACGCAAAUCGUAGUCACCACUGAAAACGAAUUAUUAAUGUUCUGUAAUGUUGUAAAGUUGGUCUGUUUACUCCAAAGUACUGCAGGUUAUCAUAACAGAAAACCUCACUAAUAAUUAAAUCCUACUAAAUAUGAUUGUAUAAACAGUUUACGUACCAACGUUUGAGUUCUCUCUUUCAGUUUGUCAGGUUCAUCUAAAAUUUAAAAUUUGCAUAGUAUGUUCAUUCUAUAAACGAUCACAUAAGCAAACGAUUUAGGGUGGUAUAAUACUUAGGUUCACCCCUGUGACAAAUAGUUAAAUUCACCACACUCUUCGUAACCAAUCAAAGUGCCUUGUAGGAGUAGUUAAAAACGAAUAUAAAAAAAAUAAAAAAAAUAGCUGAAAAAAAAACAACACUGACAUUAAUUAACGCCGUCUAAAACCCUAAACUCUAAACCAUAAAUCUUAAUUCUGAAACACUAAACUCUAAAUCUUAAACCUUAAACCCAAACUCUAAACAAUAAACCUUAAAUCUUAAAAUCUAAACCUUAAACCCAAAACUCUAAACCAUAAACCCUAAAAUCUAAACCCUAAAUCCUAAAUCCUAAACCCUAAACUCAAAUCCUAAACUCUAAACCCAAAACUUCAAAUCCUAAACCCUAAACCCAAACCUCUAAACCGUAAACCCAUCUGCUAGUUAAUAAGAUUAAGGUUUAUGGUUUAAAGGUUUGGGUUUAGGGUUUAUGAUUUAGGGUUUGGGUUUAAGAUUUAAAGUUUUGGUUUUAGGGUUUAGGAUUUAGGGUUUAUGAUUUAGGGUUUGGGUUUAAGAUUUAAAGUUUUGGGUUUAGGGUUUAGGAUUUAGGGUUUAGAUUUUAGGAUUUAGGGUAGGGUUUAGAGUUUUGCGUUUAGGCUUUAGGGUUUACAUUUUAGGAUUUAGGAUUUAUUGCGUAGAGUUUGGGUUUAGGGUUUAAAAUUUAAGGUUUAGAUUUUAGGAUUGGGGUUUAUAGUUUAGUGUUUUGGAUUUAGGGUUUACGGUUUUAGAGUUUAGGUUUUUAGAAUUUUGCAGAUGACGCUAAUUAAUGUCGGUAUUGCUUUUUUUUUCCAGAUAUUUAAAUUUUUUUUUUAUUGUCUUUUUAAGUUAUUCCUACGUGACAUUUUGGUUGGUUAUGAAGAGUGUGGUGAAUUUAACUAUUCACCGGGUGAACUAAGUAUUGUUCUUUAGGGUGUAACUGUAAAGUACAACCAAAACUAAUUGUGUACCGUUUCUAUUAGAUUAGUUACAACUUGAAAAGAAUAAUCCAAAUACACACAUAAAAUCGUCUCCCAGGCAGCAAACAACCAAUGCCGGUCCUGGGAUGACGAUACAAAACAUUCGUCUUGUCCCAAAGUUUAAGUAGUUUGUAUGUAUAGACAGUUCGGCCCCUAACUAAUUAAGAAUAUUAUAUGUAUUGAUCAUUUAGCUUUAGUUCGUAACUAUUUCAAUUCCAUAAAUCGCCCUGCGAACAAUUAGUACCCUUCAAGCAAUGCUACAUUAACAUUGCAAUAAUGUCCUAACACUAGAACCAGUGAAAAUGGCAGCACGUGAGAGCUCAAACUAUAUACCAAUCAGACGCAAUCAUGGCCGCUUCUAGACUUCAAAUCCAAUAACAUAUAGUCAUUUCAAUUCUGCAAACAUAUCAAGAGAGAGAUAAAAAAGGCUAAAUCGUGACGAACCUGAACAACUUCCAUGAUGGUCUUAGUCACAACAGCAGCAGCUCUCUCAGUGUAAUGCCCUCUCGCUACUAUCCUAUCAAACAACUCCCCACCUUCACAAAGCUCCAUAACCAAAUGAACAGCAUGCUCAUCCUCAUAAGUCUCCUUCAAAGUAACAACAUUGGGAUGCUCAGGCAUAUGCCUCAUGAUCUCAACUUCUCUCCUAACAUCCUCUAUAUCCACAGCCGUCCUCAGCUUCUUCUUCAGAAUCGACUUACACGCGAAGACCUCUUCGGUCUCUUUGUCGGUACAUAGGUACGUGACACCGAACUCUCCACGCCCUAGCUCUCUCCCCAGCUUGUAUUUCUGGGAGAUCUCGCGACCUGUUGGAUCCGUUAGCACAAUAAGCUUGAGAGGUUUUACCUUUCCACCUCCGUUAUUGCCGUGGUGGAGGCCGUAGUCGAUGGAGAAAGGGUUUUGAUUCUUCCUUCCUUUUGUGGGCUUGUUGUUAUCGUUCUUGGCUAACGAUCCCGCCGACCCGCAACAAUUACCCAUGGCUUCAACAAUGACGGAUCAAGUCAAACCCGGUCGUAGCUCGAGAGAUCGAGGGAACUUAAUUGGGUAUAGAUUCACGAGGUGUGAUUCCAAGAUAAUGGGAAGAUCAAAGGAUGGUUACUUGGAAUGAAAUUGUGGAUGAGACGGGUAUAUAUGUGGGAAUGGAGGAGGGGAAGAUCAUAAACGCGUGAAAAUCAAAGAAGAUGGAUCGAAUCAACGUCAAAAUAUUUUUCUUGU
rnacentral:lncRNA from 1 species